CAUGCAGUCGAACGCGAAAGGGGGGCAACCCCCGAGUAGAGUGGCGAACGGGUGAGUAAUACAUCGGAACGUGCCCAGUAGCGGGGGAUAACCUCUCGAAAGAGAGGCUAAUACCGCAUACGACCUACGGGUGAAAGAGGGGGAUCGCAAGACCUCUCACUAUUGGAGCGGCCGAUGUCGGAUUAGCUAGUUGGUGGGGUAAAGGCCCACCAAGGCGACGAUCCGUAGCUGGUCUGAGAGGACGACCAGCCACACUGGAACUGAGACACGGUCCAGACUCCUACGGGAGGCAGCAGUGGGGAAUUUUGGACAAUGGGCGCAAGCCUGACCCAGCCAUGCCGCGUGAGUGAAGAAGGCCUUCGGGUUGUAAAGCUCUUUCGGCUGGGACGAAUAGGCCCGCGUUAACACCGCGGGUCCAUGACGGUACCAGCAGAAGAAGCACCGGCUAACUACGUGCCAGCAGCCGCGGUAAUACGUAGGGUGCAGGCGUUAAUCGGAAUUACUGGGCGUAAAGCGUGCGCAGGCGGUCUAUUAAGACAGGUGUGAAAUCCCCGGGCUUAACCUGGGAACUGCGCUUGUAACUGAUAGGCUGGAGUGUGGCAAAGGGGGGUGGAAUUCCACGUGUAGCAGUGAAAUUGCGUAGAGAUGUGGAGGAACACCGAUGGCGAAGGCGCCCCCUGGGCUAACACUGACGCUCAUGCACGAAAGCGUGGGGGAGCAAACAGGAUUAGAUACCCUGGUAG
rnacentral:rRNA from 1 species